UGAGGAAUAUUGCGCAAUGGAGGAAACUCUGACGCAGCCAUGCCGCGUGCAGGAAGAAGGCGCUACGCGUUGUAAACUGCUUUUAACCGGGAAGAAACCCCAGGACGUGUCCUGGGUUGACGGUACCGGAGGAAUAAGCACCGGCUAACUUCGUGCCAGCAGCCGCGGUAAUACGAAGGGUGCAAGCGUUAUCCGGAUUCAUUGGGUUUAAAGGGUGCGUAGGCGGGGCAAUAAGUCAGUGGUGAAAUCCUGCGGCUUAACCGUAGAAUUGCCAUUGAUACUGUUGCUCUUGAGUAGGCUCGACGUGGGCGGAAUGUGCCGUGUAGCGGUGAAAUGCUUAGAUAUGGCACAGAACACCGAUAGUGAAGACAGCUCACGAGGGCCAAACUGACGCUGAGGCACGAAAGCGUGGGGAUCGAACAGGAUUAGAUACCCCCGUAGUCC
rnacentral:rRNA from 1 species